rnacentral:rRNA from 1 species
AGGAAUUGACGGAAGGGCACCACCAGGAGUGGAGCCUGCGGCUUAAUUUGACUCAACGCGGGGAACCUCACCAGGCCCGGACAUAGUCAUGAUUGACAGAUUGAGAGUUCUUUCUCGAUUCUAUGGGUGGUGGUGCAUGGCCGUUCUUAG